AGUUCUUUGGGAGCACCCUGGGAAACAGUGUGGCUAUGACUUGGAGCUGCUCACCAGUUCCAGUCAUUCUGUGGUUGAGAGCUGCUCCCUAUGGAUGUUAAUUCUUCUCUAUUUUAGAUUUUCCACAGGUGUGGGCCCCAUUAGCUCUGGCCACCUGAGAAAGCCCUCAGGCAAAGAGUCGCAGGUGAAAGCCAGCAGUUAGAGGUUCACAGAAAUGGCAACUUUCUCUAUGGUGGGUACCGUAGAAGACUAGAAGUUUCUAUUAUAACACAUUCAUCAUUUUGAAAAAUGAAGGUGGCUGGCUGCAGUGGCUCACGCCUGUAAUCCCAGCACUUUGGGAGGCCGAGGCGGGUGGAUCACCUGAGGUCAGGAGUUCGAGACCAGCCUGGACAACAUGGUGAAACCCUGUCUCUACUAAAAAUACAAAAUUAGCUGGGUGUGGUGGCGGGUGCCUGUAAUCCCAGCUACUUGGGAGGCUGAGGCAGGAGAAUAGCUUGCACCCAGGAGGCGAAGGUUGCAGUGAGUCGAGAUCAUGCCACGGCACUCUAGCCUGGACAACAGAACGAGACUCCGUCUCAAAAAAAAAAAAAAAAAGUGUGAAGCUAUCUGAAGAUUGACUCAAUUGACCUGAUGCAAUGAGGAAGUCCACUAGAGGAUUUAAGCAAUAGGCCAAGUUUUCAAUCAAAUCUUAAAAUAAUUAAGUGACCUUAAAAUUCUUGACUAAAUUUCUGAGUGAUCACUUGUGUAUUCUCAUCAAAUGAGGUAGUUAAGAGACCUGAGGAAGAGAAUACUUUUGGAUCUGAGUUUCUGUCUGUUAAGUAAAAAUGGAUUUGUUGUAUAAUCUGAGUAAGCUGUUUACCAUCUCAAGAGUCUCCAUUAAGAAAAAAAAUGUUAGAUAGUGGACAACAAUGCUCUCUUUAUGAGGAUUACAUGGUGUAAAGUGACUGUCAUGUGUCAAAGCUUCAUAAAUUGGGGAAAUAGAUAAAUAACUGUGGAUAGUUUUGCCUUUUUGUAAACAGAUACUGAUAAAAAGACCUAGAAUAAAGGCUCUCUCUUUUAAUAAUUUCUGAA
rnacentral:lncRNA from 1 species